rnacentral:rRNA from 1 species
AGAGUUUGAUCAUGGCUCAGGACUAACGCUGGCGGCGUGCCUAACACAUGCAAGUCGAACGCAUCUGUGCUUCGGUACAGAUGAGUGGCGAACGGGUGAGUAACACGUGAGUAACUCCCCUGGGGGAGGGGGAUAACCAUCUGAAAAGGUGGCUAAUACCCCAUAUUCUCUUUUCUCAUAAGAGGAAAGAGGAAAGAUGGCGUAAGCUAUCACCCCGAGAGAGGCUCGCGUCCCAUCAGCUAGUUGGUAAGGUAAGAGCUUACCAAGGCUAUGACGGGUAGCUGGUCUGAGAGGAUGGUCAGCCACACUGGGACUGAGACACGGCCCAGACUCCUACGGGAGGCAGCAGUGAGGAAUCUUGGGCAAUGGGCGAAAGCCUGACCCAGCGACGCCGCGUGGAGGAAGAAGGCCUUCGGGUCGUAAACUCCUGUUCGGGGAGAAGAACAGGAGGGAAGUGAAUAACUUCUCUCCCUGACGGUAU